GGGCCUUUAGCUCAGUUGGUAGAGCAGUGGACUUUUAAUCCAUAGGUCGAGGGUUCGAUCCCCUCAGGGCCCA
rnacentral:tRNA from 4 species